GACGAAGGAUGCAAGCGUUAUCCGGAUUCAUUGGGUUUAAAGGGAGCGUAGGUGGCCUUAUAAGUCAGUGGUGAAAUCUCUGGGCUUAACCCAGAAAUUGCCAUUGAUACUGUAGGGCUUGAGUACAGUUGCUGUGGGCGGAAUAUGACAUGUAGUGGUGAAAUACAUAGAGAUGUCAUAGAACACCGAUUGCGAAGGCAGCUCACAAAAACUGUAACUGACACUGAGGCUCAAAGUGCGGGGAUCAAAACAGG
rnacentral:rRNA from 1 species